rnacentral:tRNA from 1 species
UAGCUUAGUUGGUAAAGCGCUCGUCUAGCAUACAAGAGUCCUGGGUUCAAAUCCCAA